CCUACGGGGGGCUGCAGUGGGGAAUAUUGGACAAUGGGGGCAACCCUGAUCCAGCCAUGCCGCGUGGGUGAAGAAGGCCCUCGGGUUGUAAAGCACUUUCAGUGAGGAAGAACGCCUGGUGGUUAAUACCCAUCAGGAAAGACAUCACUCACAGAAGAAGCACCGGCUAACUCCGUGCCAGCAGCCGCGGUAAUACGGAGGGUGCGAGCGUUAAUCGGAAUUACUGGGCGUAAAGCGAGCGUAGGUGGCUUGAUAAGCCGGUUGUGAAAGCCCCGGGCUCAACCUGGGAACGGCAUCCGGAACUGUCAAGCUAGAGUGCAGGAGAGGAAGGUAGAAUUCCCGGUGUAGCGGUGAAAUGCGUAGAGAUCGGGAGGAAUACCAGUGGCGAAGGCGGCCUUCUGGACUGACACUGACACUGAGGUGCGAAAGCGUGGGUAGCAAACAGGAUUAGAUACCCGAGUAGUC
rnacentral:rRNA from 1 species